rnacentral:rRNA from 1 species
UACGUAGGGACCAAGCGUUGUUCGGAUUUACUGGGCGUAAAGGGCGCGUAGGCGGCAAUUCAAGUCAUCUGUGAAAUCUCCGGGCUUAACUCGGAACGGUCAGAUGAUACUGCUUUGCUAGAGUGCGGAAGGGGCAAUCGGAAUUCUCGGUGUAGCGGUGAAAUGCGUAGAUAUCGAGAGGAAAACCUGAGGUGAAGACGGGUUGCUGGGCCGACAAUGGAGAUGAGUGCGCGAAAGCCAGGGGAGCAAACAGG